AUAUCAGGAGAGCAUUUCCUUGUCAAAUCCUUGAAUCUCUCUUAGGCUUCGUACAUAGUCUCUCCAUCAUGCUGUCUAAACAUUUAGACAUCAGCUCUCAAUCU